rnacentral:rRNA from 1 species
UACGUAGGGCGCGAGGGUUGUCCGGAUUUAUUGGGCGUAAAGAGCUCGUAGGCGGCUUGUUGCGUCGACUGUGAAAACCCGCGGCUUAACUGCGGGCUUGCAGUUGAUACGGGCAGGCUAGAGUUCGGUAGGGGAGACUGGAAUUCCUGGUGUAGCGGUGAAAUGCGCAGAUAUCAGGAGGAACACCGGUGGCGAAGGCGGGUCUCUGGGCCGAUACUGACGCUGAGGAGCGAAAGCGUGGGGAGCGAACAGG